rnacentral:rRNA from 1 species
UACAGAGGGUGCGAGCGUUGUCCGGAAUCACUGGGCGUAAAGGGCGCGUAGGUGGCGGCCCAAGUCCAUGGUGAAAGCUCGCCGCUUAACGGCGAGUCGGCCACGGAUACUGGGUUGCUCGAGCACUGUAGGGGCAGAUGGAAUUCCGGGUGUAGCGGUGGAAUGCGUAGAGAUCCGGAAGAACACCAGUGGCGAAGGCGGUCUGCUGGGCAGUAGCUGACACUGAUGCGCGACAGCGUGGGGAGCAAACAGG